GACCUAGGAAGGGAAAGUGGAAUAUGCCUCUGAGACUGGGAGGAGAUGGGCUCUGGCCAAUUAGAUGACAUAUCUAUUUAAUAAAAUGUGGAAACUGGAUCUCAGGACUUCCCUAGCCUGUGCCAAGGUCUGCACUGCCCUCUGAAGCCACUAAAUAGGGGAGUCACAGAUUGGCCUUCUCUAUCCCUUUGCCAGUUCAGGAUGAAUUUGGCCCAUUGAGUUGACCCUCUUCCAUCUCAAAUUUCCCCACUUAUAAAAUAAUUUUAUCAUUAUUCAUAUUUCAGUCUAUGGAGGGGAAAGGGCCCCAUUGUGCUGAGCUCUCCAGAGACGCUGAGUAAAUAGACCCCAAAAGUUUACAAUUCAGAGCCCUGACUGCAAAUUCUUAACAUCCCAUGAAUGUCAAAGAGACCAAAGUGCGCAAAGCUACUUUCGCCCUAAACUUUUUGCAGGAUCUGGGUCUCAGUUACGGCAAAAUGCAACUGGUGAAUGAGACAAACCAGCUGGGGUUGGGGGGUGGAUGAUGAGGGGAAAGGAUAUCUCUCCUAGAGAUUGCAUCUCACAGGUGUGGCUUAAUGACAGUUGAUUCCAUUGCUGUGAGACGUCUGAAUAAAAGAGGAAAAAGGAGGUUUCAGACUAGUUUAUAUUGAUAUUAAAGCCCUAAGUGUGUGUCUGUG